CCCACACUAUACCUUUAAGGUAAAAUAACUAUUCAAAAAGCCUCCUGACAAAGCUGUUUGUCUUUUUAGAAACACAAUUUAAUGAAUUCAUAAAUCAUCAUUGUCGUAGACUAAGCUAGCCAGAAAACUCCACGAUUGACCAGAGAUGCACCAACACAACUUGUGCCCAAGAGAGAAGCUGUGUCUGUUUGGAGGGUUUUCGGUUUUGGAAAAUUCGACCCCCUCAUUAGCAGCCGUGCUGUGGACACCAGAGGCCUUUGAGGGCCUCAUGCAGAUGAGCGGUAACUCGAGGAGCUGUGUUGGGCGCUGAUCCUGCAGGCAGAACACGAUGAGGAGCCUGACAGUGCUGAUCCACAGCCUGGGUCACUGCAGAGGGGCCAUGAAGGUCUUGCUGCAGGUCUUCUUCUGGACAGGAAGAAGCAAUGAAGCUACCUACAUGCAAUGUCUUUCAACUGGCUUCAUUUUUUCCAAUUGACAUACUUGAUGCACAUCUCAUGUGUUUAUUCUUAAACAAGUGUGCACUUUUAGAUAAUCACAAAUACAACACAGUAAAUAGAUAGUUGUGUGUUUAUUUUGCUCACUCACGUUAUAAUAAGGUGAAGUAUAAAAUGAUUCUGGAACAUUUUGUUUGUUUUACUAAAGAAUAAGCACAAGUUAAACACAUCAUAACACAGAACCAUGCUCUUGCCAACAACUAUUUAACACAUACUGUACAUUACACUCUUAUCAAAUCCUGCACCACACUUAAUGGCAGUUUGCAGGAGUGUUUAAAAUAUUCAUAAUCUUUAAUGUGGGCUGCUUGGAAUGUGAUGGUGUCUGUGCAGGCACUGACACUUGGGUAACAUGCACUGUGGUUAGGCAUGGUGUUCAAUGAUACCAUUUCACAGUAAUUCUGAAUGCUCGCCCAUCUUCCAAAAGCAGAUGUCUGUAAGCUUCACCGGUGAUCCGCUGAAUUAGUGAGGCUACAGUCAAAGCCUCUUCUGCAUUGUCACCAUCAGGUUGUGCAUCUUGAAAAGAAAUACAGUGUAGACCAAAAUAAAUCUCUCCAGACACUUAUAUGCUAUAGAAUUAGGGUGGAAAUCUAAAAUUUCAAUCACAAACUAUUAUUUUAGAUGAAUGUUGGACAUACCUUCAUGUUCUAAGAGGAAAUACUUGAUUACAUGAUAGUUGCAUAAUCGCAUCAAGGUAUCAAGGUGAAAACCAGACUAAUGACACAUUUAACUGGCUCAUUGACAUGAGUGCAUGUCAAACUUUCAGUUUCACCUGACUCUAUACCUGCUUUUGUUCCUGAGGUUCUUCAGCUGUGGCCCUUGAAAUGAGGGACAUCGGUCGAACCACCAAUGAGC
ensembl:lncRNA